rnacentral:precursor_RNA from 14 species
AUUCCUAUUCCGAACUUCCUCCCUCCGAGUAGAGUUCAGACCCUGGUGACCUACAGCAGUAGCAUGAGGUGACUAGAGUGCUGAGCUCUCCUUGGUUCAGAGGCAUCAUAUUCAUGCUAUA